UAGUACAAUGGGGCAUUUCUGUUUUAGCCUCAAGGAUUGUGGCCCUUGAUCU
ensembl:misc_RNA